GUGGGAGGGGGCUUGCUCCCGAUGACGGUGGGUCAGUCACUGCAGUAGUGACUGAUACACCGUCAUCGGGGGCAAGCCCCCUCCCAC
rnacentral:misc_RNA from 1 species